rnacentral:ribozyme from 1 species
UGCCCAGCAACUCCUAACCCCACCUCCGCAUGGUACCGGCUGGAAACUACGAGCAACCUUAGGGAAGGUCGAGUAACCAACUCCGCGUGGGAGCAUUGGUCGUAGGCUGACAGGGAAGG